GAUGAACGCUGGCGGCGUGCCUAAUACAUGCAAGUCGAGCGAACGGACGAGAAGCUUGCUUCUCUGAUGUUAGCGGCGGACGGGUGAGUAACACGUGGAUAACCUACCUAUAAGACUGGGAUAACUUCGGGAAACCGGAGCUAAUACCGGAUAAUAUUUUGAACCGCAUGGUUCAAAAGUGAAAAACGGUCUUGCUGUCACUUAUAGAUGGAUCCGCGCUGCAUUAGCUAGUUGGUAAGGUAACGGCUUACCAAGGCAACGAUGCAUAGCCGACCUGAGAGGGUGAUCGGCCACACUGGAACUGAGACACGGUCCAGACUCCUACGGGAGGCAGCAGUAGGGAAUCUUCCGCAAUGGGCGAAAGCCUGACGGAGCAACGCCGCGUGAGUGAUGAAGAUCUUCGGAUCGUAAAACUCUGUUAUUAGGGAAGAACAUAUGUGUAAGUAACUGUGCACAUCUUGACGGUACCUAAUCAGAAAGCCACGGCUAACUACGUG
rnacentral:rRNA from 1 species